rnacentral:lncRNA from 1 species
AUGCUUAAACCCAAAAACCUUGUUAAACCAAUGCGGUUCGGAUUACCAGAGAUCGAUUCAUGGCGAAAAAGUUGCAGUCAUUCGCAUUGGGAACGAUGGAUGACAACAAGCAAACGAGUCCAAGACCGAAGCAAGAAGAAAAGGGUUCACGAACUCGAAGUAGCAACAGAGAAAUGGAAGAUAACCUCCAAAAUCAUCUUCUUAAUGGAACUUCUCAAACAAGAACCAGAAAUGCUGAAGACUUGA